UUACAGAUGCAAGACCCCCAGCAUGAGCCAUCUCACGUGGAAAGGGAAACACUUGAAGAAUCAACAUGUGUGCCCUUUUCAAGAAAGUCAGCAUCACCAUACUGAAGGAACUGCCCAGCAAGAACUUUGUCAUACAAAAGAAUGACCUGCAGACACUAAAGACUAAAGGCAUCAGUGUUUUGCACUUUGUCUUCCACAAUAAAACAGUCUUUCUCAA